UGAGGAAUAUUGCGCAAUGGGCGAAAGCCUGACGCAGCGACGCCGCGUGGAGGAUGAAGGCCCUCGGGUUGUAAACUCCUGUCAGUGGGGAAGAGAAUGGACGGUACCCACUGAGGAAGCUUCGGCUAACUACGUGCCAGCAGCCGCGGUAAGACGUAGGGAGCAAGCGUUGUCCGGAAUUACUGGGCGUAAAGAGCUCGUAGGCGGGACCGUAAGUCCGAGAGGGAAAUCUCAAGGCUCAACUUUGGGGCUUUCUUGGAUACUGCGGUUCUUGAGGAUGGGAGAGGUAAGUAGAAUUCCCGGUGUAGCGGUGAAAUGCGUAGAUAUCGGGAGGAAUACCAGUGGCGAAGGCGGCUUACUGGCCCAUUCCUGACGCUGAGGAGCGAAAGCGUGGGGAGCAAACGGGAUUAGAUACCCCGGUAGUCCACGCCGUAAACGAUGGAUACUAGGUGUAGGAGGUAUCGACCCCUUCUGUGCCGACGUUAACACAUUAAGUAUCCCGCCUGGGGAGUACGGUCGCAAGGCUGAAACUC
rnacentral:rRNA from 1 species